GGCCCAGAUCGUUUACCGUGAAAAAAUUAGAGUGUUCAAAGCAGGCAGAUCCAAUUCUCUGCCACCGAAUACAUUAGCAUGGGAUAAUGGAAUAGGACCCUGUCCUCCUAUUUUCAGUUGGUUUUGGCAGCGCGAGGACUAGGGUAAUGAUUAAUAGGGAUAGUUGGGGGCAUUAAUAUUUAAUUGUCAGAGGUGAAAUUCUUGGAUUUAUGAAAGAUUAACUUCUGCGAAAGCAUCUGCCAAGGAUGUUUUCAUUAAUCAAGAACGAAAGUUAGGGGAUCGAAGACGAUCAGAUACCGUCGUAGUCUUAACCAUAAACGAUGCCGACCAGCGAUUAGGAGACGUUGAAUACAAAACACCACCAUCGGUGCGGCUGUUCUUGGCGUCGGUUUCGGCCGGCGCGGGGAUGGCUUAGCCCGGUGGCACCGGUGAAUGACUCCCCUAGCAGCUUGUGAGAA
rnacentral:rRNA from 1 species